CAGCCGUGUUAGUCUGUAUUCGCAAAAAGAAAAGGAGUACUUGUGGCACCUUAGAGACUAACAAAUGUAUGAAGCUUGAGUGGGGCUAAGGGUGUCCUGAGGGAUUUCCCUGGGACUGGGUGCAAAGGCAGGAGCCAAGAUGCAUGUGUGUGGAGGAAAACCCAGCAGAAAGGGAGAGAGAAAGGCAUGAGAGAGCUGCGAGAGACAGAGCUCUUUGGGCACAGGACUGGCUGGAGGGGCAGACUGAAACUGAGCAAGAAAACUGCCUGCUGUUGUUUGUGCCCACUAUGCUCAGGCAAAUAGGGCUCUGGGCACCUUCUUGGGACAUUACCAACAUUGCACCAGAAAUACUGGCUUUGUAUCAUCCAUAUCUCCUAAUGGAAGCCAGCCAGCAAGGCUUGGAUACGGGCUAAUCGCGUGGGCCGGAGUGGCAAGAGCAGAUCCUGUUUGCUGGAGGAGAAGGGAGUAGAAUGGGCAGACACGCACAACCCCCCAUCUAUAAAGGAGUCGUGCACUGGAACGGCUGCACUCUGCACACCCUCAGCUCAUGUGUGCCUUCAGCUCCAACGGCAGGGCUGGGGCAGGGGUUAAGAGACGUGAAUUCAGGCCGUGCCAUCUCUCGGUCACUUGUGCAUUGUUAAGCACUGUCUAGCAGCCUUGGUGUUUGCACUCACACCACCAGCAGGAUCGGUGCCCUGCACUGCCCAGACUCCUCGGGGGCUCCGGGAAGCGCCUCUGGAGAUGCGUAGGGCUGGCGUGCACGGCGCUGGAGGUGGCUCUUGUCAGUGUAAACAGCUGUGGCCUUCGUUCACCGAGGCACUCACUGGGGCAGCUGGCCAGGGCAGCAGGAGCCUGGGACUUUGCAGGUGGCCGGUGAGUUCCCGACCCAUCUUCCACAGGGGGAGCUCUGGCUGAAGGGCCGUAGGAGGCAGGGACAGAGACAGGUUUGUCAGAGCAGCCGCUAGCAAGAGCUGUUGGCCGCACUCCGAGAGGCCACCAAAACAUUUGUUGUGAGAACCCCCGCCUCAGCUCCUGUUGUGCCCUGCCUAUCCCAACCCUUCCUUUGGCAAGGGCCGGCCUCCGUAUCAUCAGUUAACGGGGCAUCACCUCUUCCUCUGUCUCCUUUCCCUCGCCCCCACUUCCACCAUCACCCACUGGUAACGCUUCCAUCAGGCAGUGGAGUGUCAGACUGGUGCUGAUCCAGGGCGUGCUGCUGAUCCCUUUAGCUCACCUCCCACCCCUCAUCAUCCAGCGGGGUAGCCCUAGGGUGACCAGACGUCCCGAUAUUGGGGGCAUUGUCUUACAGAUGCAACUAUACCGCCCCAUGAAAAAAAAAAGGGAAUUUUUCCCGAAUUUUCACACUUGCUAUCUGGUCACCCGAGGUAGCCCCAGCCCCUGACCCCUGCUCCACUAGUCACUGAGUAUCUCUGCCUCUGCCCUCAGUUGCACCCAGGACAUUUCACUCUGACUCAAGGGAGCCUGGCGUGAGGAAGUUUCCCAGCCCCCAAGGCAGCAAUGUCAUAUCCUUUCCUCAGCGUCAGCUCAAGUAGUUGUGCGGUUGGUUUUUGAGCUUGUUCUGUUAAUAGCUCUGGAGAAAUGAAUUAUUUCUGCAGGAGAGGGGGAAAAAACCCUUGAAAAAGAGAAGUUGCAGCAGGAUCAGAGCCGGACGCCAUCAAGCCUGUCUGUGAUGUGACACGUCCCUCUUUGACUCAGCCUGAAACUGCUGAGGUCAUCUUGGAAUUUCCAUCUGUGGGGUUAGCUCUAUAAAAAGAAGAGAUGUGCCGAACAGCUGGAGUAGGCAAGAGAGAGGAGACGGCAGUGCUUCACCUAGAGAUCGUUCUUCCUUCCCACCAGGGUAACAGAAUGGUUCCUGGUGUUCCUUCUUACCAAUGCUGUGGUUAUCUUUUCUGCCUUUUUGUUCCAUCAAUCAGCAAGGGUGCUGCUAUCCUAAUAAAAAGCAUGAACCUUGGAUAUUUCAUUCUGAGGAUCUGCUUCCAUGGGUAGAGCCCACCCUACAGCUGUGAGACUCAAGAUUCCUGGGAAACAAAGGAUCCACUGAGCCAUCUCCCUUCUCCUGCUCUCGCUGCUCCUCCCUGUGUGCAUGUUUCUCACGUUGGACUGGGGAGAAAGAAGAGGUUAGAAUAUCCUUGCCCCCUAGCAGAAUGCUUGGGCAUUGGGUAGGCCAGUUCCAACAGGAAUUAGCUUUGCCCCAUCAAUCCCUGCAGUCAGAGCAUGAUACUGCACCUUUCAACUAGCAGCGACUCCGGAUUUCUACACAUUCUGUAAGAAAUGGGAACUGCGAGGGGCUGCCCAGAGGCUCCCUCCUGUGACCAAAUGCAGCGGUUCUGCUCUCUCUUCCAUUGCAAAAAUGCCUCAACUUUAACAGCAAAGAAAACUCGGGGUCCUUACUGGAGCAUGUUUUUCUCCAUUCUACAUUUCAGUGCGCUCCAGAUCUAGGGGGGGAGGAGUUCAAGGAUGGCCCUAGCAGGGCUCUUUAGAAAGUGUUAUGAAUCCAUACGGCUCUGCCACAGCAGACGCCCAGCGAGCAGCAGAAAGAAGGGAAGGUCAGUGGUUCAGGAUCGUCGUCAUCAGUCAUCUAUCUGAUCUCCAGCUGGAGUGGGACAUUGCGCACGAAGGGGAAGAGGAGCUUCAGACCACUGCCCCUCUGCUCAGUGUUUCAUGGUUGGGAGGCGCCAAUAACUCCCGUAAAACCACCGUCCCGGGCACGCUCUGUCUCGUGCUUCCGAUGGGACGGAACCUUUGGCAUUUCUGUACUGUGUCUAAUGAGCUUCCUUUCCAGGCAGAAAUAAACGGUUGUGAAAUC